rnacentral:rRNA from 1 species
CAGUCGCCGCGGUAAUACGUAGGUGGCAAGCGUUGUCCGGAAUUAUUGAGCGUAAAGGGCUCGCAGGCGGUUUCUUAAGUCUGAUGUGAAAGCCCCCGGCUCAACCGGGGAGGGUCAUUGGAAACUGGGAAACUUGAGUGCAGAAGAGGAGAGUGGAAUUCCACGUGUAGCGGUGAAAUGCGUAGAGAUGUGGAGGAACACCAGUGGCGAAGGCGACUCUCUGGUCUGUAACUGACGCUGAGGAGCGAAAGCGUGGGGAGCGAACAGGAUUAGAUACCCCCGUAGUCCCUGUCUCUUAUAC